rfam:Camelus ferus unplaced genomic scaffold scaffold644, whole genome shotgun sequence.
GGAGGGUACAACUCAGUGGCAGAGCACAUGCCUAGCAUGCAUGAGGUCCUGGGUUCAUUCCCCAGAACCUCCA